rfam:Myotis davidii contig109615, whole genome shotgun sequence.
CCAAAGGCUCUUUUCAGAGCCACCCACCUGCCAAGAAAAACCUG